GGCGAGUUAGGGGUAUGAUUCUCGCUUUGGGUGCGAGAGGUCCUGGGUUCAAAUCCCGGAAAGCCC